rnacentral:rRNA from 1 species
CCUACGGGCGGCAGCAGUGAGGAAUAUUGGUCCAUGGACGGAAGUCUGAACCAGCCAUGCCGCGUGCAGGAAGACGGCUCUAUGAGUUGUAAACUGCUUUUGUACAAGGGUAAACCUGAAUACGUGUAUUCAGCUGAAAGUACUGUACGAAUAAGGAUCGGCUAACUCCGUGCCAGCAGCCGCGGUAAUACGGAGGAGCCAAGCGUUAUCCGGAUUUAUUGGGUUUAAAGGGUGCGUAGGCGGAUUGAUAAGUUAGAGGUGAAAUGUCCGAGCUUAACUCGGGAACUGCCUCUAAUACUGUUGAUCUAGAGAGUAGAUGCGGUAGGCGGAAUGUAUGGUGUAGCGGGGAAAUGCUUAGAGAUCAUACAGAACACCGAUUGCGAAGGCAGCUUACCAAUCUAUAUCUGACGUUGAGGCACGAAAGCGUGGGGAGCAAACAGGAUUAGAUACCCCAGUAGUC